rnacentral:rRNA from 1 species
UACAGAGGGUACGAGCGUUGUCCGGAAUUACUGGGCGUAAAGGGCUCGUAGGUGGCCAACUAAGUCAGACGUGAAAUCCCUCGGCUUAACCGGGGAACUGCGUCUGAUACUGGAUGGCUUGAGUUUGGGAGAGGGACGCGGAAUUCCAGGUGUAGCGGUGAAAUGCGUAGAUAUCUGGAGGAACACCGGUGGCGAAGGCGGCGUCCUGGACCAAUACUGACACUGAGUGAGCGAAAGCCAGGGGAGCAAACGGG